CAUUGAUUUCAUCUGGUCUAUCUGGUGUUUUGGCUCUCAGUCCCCGCUUUCAAACCUCACUUCCAGCUUGUUCUUGAUUGUUUGCUUGAGGGCAAGCAAAGACUAAGUUUGGGGGAGAUGAUAAGUGUGUAUUUUGCAUGUUUUGAGCAUCCAUUUGUCAUCAUUUUAGCAUCAUAUCAUCACUGUUUUAUACCAUUUCACAUCAUUUGUCAUCACUUUGCAUGUUUAGGAUAGUUUUUCAUGCAUGUUGCAUAUUUGCGUUGAUUUCAGGUGAUUUGGAGCUGUUGACGAGCUAUCUGGAAGAAGCGGACCUGAUCACGACAAACCACUCGACCAAGAGGUCGAGUAGGAGCUUCAAGAUCUCAAGAGACCACUCGACCCCCA
rnacentral:sRNA from 1 species